rnacentral:misc_RNA from 1 species
AGCGAAGCCUAUCAUAUGGUGAUGGCUCGCUCUUAUUCAUCACAUGGCUAGUUCAAUUAAUUAAUUAAUUAUAAUCACAAAUUUAAUUUACCCCAAUGCUUGUCUGAUCCAAGGAACAAAUGGGUUGAUUUCUCUACGCAUAACUGCACAUCCCAUACACACAUGCACUCCCUUUCUUGCACUUCUUGUUGCAACCUCCACAGUGCUUCUUGUUGGA